rnacentral:rRNA from 1 species
UACGGAGGGGGCAAGUGUUGUUCGGAAUUACUGGGCGUAAAGGGCGCGCAGGCGGCUUGGCAAGUCGAGUGUGAAAUACCUCAGCUUAACUGAGGAAGUGCGCCCGAAACUGCAGAGCUUGAGUGCCGGAGAGGGUGGCGGAAUUCCCCAAGUAGAGGUGAAAUUCGUAGAUAUGGGGAGGAACACCGGUGGCGAAGGCGGCCACCUGGACGGUAACUGACGCUGAGACGCGAAAGCGUGGGGAGCAAACAGG